rnacentral:rRNA from 1 species
AACGAACGCUGGCGGCAUGCCUAACACAUGCAAGUCGAACGAACCCUUCGGGUCUAGUGGCGCACGGGUGCGUAACGCGUGGGAACCUGCCCUUAGGUUCGGAAUAACUCACGGAAAGGGGUGCUAAUACCGGAUAAUCCCUUCGGGCGAAAGAUUUAUCGCCUUUGGAUGGGCCCGCGUUUGAUUAGCUAGUUGGUAGGGUAAAAGCCUACCAAGGCGACGAUCAAUAGCUGGUCUGAGAGGAUGAUCAGCCACACUGGGACUGAGACACGGCCCAGACUCCUACGGGAGGCAGCAGUGGGGAAUAUUGGACAAUGGGCGAAAGCCUGAUGCAGCAAUGCCGCGUGAAUGAUGAAGGUCUUAGGAUUGUAAAGCUCUUUUACCCGGGAUGAUAAUGACGGUACCGGGAGAAGAAGCCCCGGCUAACUUCGUG